rnacentral:rRNA from 1 species
UUGGAGGGCAAGUCUGGUGCCAGCAGCCGCGGUAAUUCCAGCUCCAAUAGCGUAUAUUAAAGUUGCUGCAGUUAAAAAGCUCGUAGUUGAAUUUCGGGACCAUCAUGUCGGUCGUGCCUCGGUACGUACUGGCAUUGUUGGUUUCUCCCUUCUGACGAACCAUGAUGUCAUUUAUUUGGUGUCGUGGGAAAUCAGGACUGUUACUUUGAAAAAAUUAGAGUGUUUAAAGCAGGCUCACGCUUGAAUACAUUAGCAUGGAAUAAUGAAAUAGGACGUUUGAUUCUAUUUUGUUGGUUUCUAGGAUCGACGUAAUGAUUAAUAGGGAUAGUUGGGGGCAUUAGUAUUCAAUUGUCAGAGGUGAAAUUCUUGGAUUUAUUGAAGACUAACUACUGCGAAAGCAUUUGCCAAGGAUGUCUUCAUUAAUCAAGAACGAAAGUUAGGGGAUCGAAGACGAUCAGAUACCGUCGUAGUCUUAACCAUAAACUAUGCCGACUAGGGAUCGGAUGAUGUUAAUUUUUUAAUGACUCAUUCGGCGCCUUACGGAAACCAAAGUGUUUGGGUUC